UUGAUACGAGUCACAGCUGAGGUUCUUGGUGCUGAGGCAGUGCAGAAACACUCCUGAUGCAGACGGCAGGAACACUCUCAGACGGCCAGAGAACCACUUCCUGAUGACAUCACUGUCUCUCAGCUGAUCCUCAGUCAGCCUGUUGACCCGGAUCUCUCCAAUCACAUCCAGCGCCUGCGAUACUGCUGGACCAAUCACAGGCUCAGACUGGGGAGGAAGAGAUGUGGUUGGUUACUUCAAGGUUUGGCAAACCCUGACCCGAUACACCACAUACUUACUUGAACUUUAACCUCAAACUAGGCCAAUCCUAAACCAUUUCUGGCCUUGAACACAAUUGUUAAAUUUUUAUGCUCUAUUCGGAAACUCUAGGGCUGAGAAAUUGGUUAAGUCGACAUUGG
ensembl:lncRNA